rnacentral:lncRNA from 1 species
UGAAAUUGAAAGCAGAAAAUCAACCCCAAAGUUGAUUCUUUGAAAAGAUGAAUAAACUUGACAAACCUUUAGCCAGACUAAGGAAGACAGUAGAAACAAUACUAACACCAGAAAAUAAAGAUGGGCCAUUGUGAUGCCAUGAACAUUAAAGGGAUAAUAAAGGAUUAUUAUGAACAACUCUACGUCCACACAUUUGAUAGCCUAGAUAAAAUGGAUCAAUUCCUUGUAUCAAUUCCUCUAUCCAGACUCUCAGAAGACACAUAGGUAAUCUCAAUAGAACUAAGAUCAAUAGAUGCAGAAAAAGUAUUUGAUAAAAUUCAAACUCAUUCAUGACUAAAAAAAAAAAAAAAAAACUCUCCACAAACCAGGAACAAAGGGUAAUUUCCUUAAUUUUAUCUGUUGAAAGACAUCAAAAAAGA